GGAUGCGAUCAUACCAGCAUUAAAGCAAUGGAUCCCAUCAGAACUCUGAAGUUAAGCGUGCUUGGCCCAAAGUAGUACUAGGAUGGGUGACCUCCUGGGAAGUCCUCGUGUUGCAUUCC
rfam:Triticum aestivum genome assembly, contig: Triticum_aestivum_CS42_TGACv1_scaffold_393665_5AS